rnacentral:rRNA from 1 species
UACGGGGGGGGGUAAGCGUUGUUCGGAAUUACUGGGCGUAAAGGGCUCGUAGGCGGCCAACUAAGUCGGACGUGAAAUCCCUCAGCUUAACUGGGGAACUGCGUCCGAUACUGGAUGGCUUGGAUUUGGGAGAGGGAUGCGGAAUUCCAGGUGUAGCGGUGAAAUGCGUAGAUAUCUGGAGGAACACCGGUGGCGAAGGCGGCAUCCUGGACCAAUAUUGACGCUGAGGAGCGAAAGCCAGGGGAGCAA